rnacentral:rRNA from 1 species
UACAGAGGUCCCAAGCGUUGUUCGGAUUCAUUGGGCGUAAAGGGUGCGUAGGCGGCGCGGUAAGUCGGAUGUGAAAUCUCGGAGCUUAACUCCGAAACUGCAUUCGAUACUGCCGUGCUUGAGGACUGGAGAGGAGACUGGAAUUUACGGUGUAGCGGUGAAAUGCGUAGAUAUCGUAAGGAAGACCAGUGGCGAAGGCGGGUCUCUGGACAGUUCCUGACGCUGAGGCACGAAGGCUAGGGGAGCAAACGGG